GCAGAUAAAAGGACCAGAGUCUCACCAUCAGUGAAAGGUUUACUGAUGUCACACAACUAUGAAUUACAGUCAUGAUUCUGGAAACCAACUGCCUUCACUUCCAGCACAGCACCCUUCCCUCUUCAUUCAGCAUCCUGUACAACACAACUAAGUGCCAGGAACUGGACCAGGCGGGGGAGGUUAAGCAUGAAGGCCACCCUCCCUACUUUGGGUGUGUAUCAUCCGAAACUAUUUUUUAAAAAAUGAUCACUGUCUUUCAUUUACAUCGAAGUUCUGGGCAGUAGAAAUGUAAGCUGGAUCCCUAAAAUGGUGCAGUCAUUCCAAAGCUUCCGAGAGAGAGAAAAAAUUGAAGUGGAAAGAGACUGGUCUAAAGAGACUCAAAAUAUCUUGCUUUGCAAGUGGUACAAAAAUGCACAACCAUGUGACUGCACCCUCUUAGAUGAAUGAAGGGGACGUGCCAGAUAGAAAGCUUCAUUUGUGCCAGAACAGAGUCCACUUGGCUUAGAGUACUCCAGCAACAAUAAUGGAUAUGCAGGAAGUAACUUCCCCAGAUCUGGAAGGAAGCUCACUGUGGCCUGAGGCUGCCUCCGAGGAUAUUGAAAAGGCACAAAAACAUUCUGGUGGAAAUGCCAGCUUGCCAACGCUGAGAAUGCAGGUGGAAGUGCAAUCUGCCAGAAGUCAAGAGCUAAGCAAGGCUGAGGGUGCUUUUUUCUGGUUAGGAACACCAGGUGCAAGCACAUAUUUUUGUUUUUCUUAAAAUAGAGCAAAUAAGGGUCCAGUCUGUGCAGUGCUUAACCUAAGCGUUUUGUCCUUUCUGGCUGAACACUGUAUUCCAUUCCCACUUUUUGACUCCCUUUGCCAAGGAAAAAUCAUGUUGAAACCAACACAAGCUUCCCUGUUGCAGUAACACCAUUCCCUGAUUUUAUCCCGUGUAUGAGAUAAUUGGUGUAAUAAAGCAUAUAUUGGAGAAAAUAAACAGUAGCUAAUAACUACUGAACAUUAGCACUAAGUGGUUCAUAAGUAUUAAUUUAUUUAUUCCUUGUAGCCAAUCUUAUGGCACAGAUUCUAAUCUUAUCACCAAUUUUACAACCCUAUAUUGGGUAGAGGUAUAUAGCUUUGUAAAUUUUACUGUUCGUGGCCUUACUGAGAACUCACUGGUCUCCCUUCUCUAUUAAGUUA